UACGGAGGGUGCAAGCGUUAUCCGAAUUCACUGGGUUUAAAGGGUGCGUAGGUGGGCAGGUAAGUCAGUGGUGAAAUCUCCGGGCUUAACUCGGAAACUGCCAUUGAUACUAUCUUUCUUGAAUACCGUGGAGGUCAGCGGAAUAUGUCAUGUAGCGGUGAAAUGCUUAGAUAUGACAUAGAACACCAAUUGCGAAGGCAGCUGGCUACACGAAUAUUGACACUGAUGCACGAAAGCGUGGGGAUCAAACAGG
rnacentral:rRNA from 1 species